AUACGAUGACGCCUGAGUACGAGCGAGU
rnacentral:sRNA from 1 species